GAUGAACGCUGGCGGCGUGCCUAAUACAUGCAAGUCGAGCGAACGGACGAGAAGCUUGCUUCUCUGAUGUUAGCGGCGGACGGGUGAGUAACACGUGGAUAACCUACCUAUAAGACUGGGAUAACUUCGGGAAACCGGAGCUAAUACCGGAUAAUAUUUUGAACCGCAUGGUUCAAAAGUGAAAGACGGUCUUGCUGUCACUUAUAGAUGGAUCCGCGCUGCAUUAGCUAGUUGGUAAGGUAACGGCUUACCAAGGCAACGAUGCAUAGCCGACCUGAGAGGGUGAUCUGCCACACUGGAACUGAAACACGGUCCAGACUCCUACGGGAGGCAGCAGUAGGGAAUCUUCCGCAAUGGGCGAAAGCCUGACGGAGCAACGCCGCGUGAGUGAUGAAGGUCUUCGGAUCGUAAAACUCUGUUAUUAGGGAAGAACAUAUGUGUAAGUAACUGUGCACAUCUUGACGGUACCUAAUCAGAAAGCCACGGCUAACUACGUG
rnacentral:rRNA from 1 species